AUACGGAGGAUGCAAGCGUUAUCCGGAUUUAUUGGGUUUAAAGGGCGCGUAGGCGGCCCGGUAAGUCUGGAGUGAAAGUCCUGUUUUUAAGAUGGGAAUUGCUUUGGAUACUGUCGGGCUUGAGUGCAGGAGAGGUAAGUGGAAUUCCCAGUGUAGCGGUGAAGUGCGUAGAGAUUGGGAGGAACACCAGUGGCGAAGGCGACUUACUGGACUGUAACUGACGCUGAGGCGCGAAAGUGUGGGGAGCAAACAGGAUUAGAUACCCUGGUAGUCCACACUGUAAACGAUGAAUGCUAGGUGUAGGGGGUAUCGACCCCUUCUGUGCCGCAGUCAACACAAUAAGCAUUCCGCCUGGGGAGUACGGCCGCAAGGUUGAAACUCAAAGGAAUUGACGGGG
rnacentral:rRNA from 1 species